AGUGAACGCUGGCGGUAGGCCUAACACAUGCAAGUCGAACGGCAGCACAGUAAGAGCUUGCUCUUACGGGUGGCGAGUGGCGGACGGGUGAGGAAUACAUCGGAAUCUACUUUUUCGUGAGGGAUAACGUAGGGAAACUUACGCUAAUACCGCAUACGACCUACGGGUGAAAGCAGGGGAUCUUCGGACCUUGCGCGAUUGAAUGAGCCGAUGUCGGAUUAGCUAGUUGGCGGGGUAAAGGCCCACCAAGGCGACGAUCCGUAGCUGGUCUGAGAGGAUGAUCAGCCACACUGGAACUGAGCCACGGUCCAGACUCCUACGGGAGGCAGCAGUGGGGAAUAUUGGACAAUGGGCGCAAGCCUGAUCCAGCCAUACCGCGUGGGUGAAGAAGGCCUUCGGGUUGUAAAGCCCUUUUGUUGGGAAAGAAAAGCAGCAGGUUAAUACCCCGCUGUUCUGACGGUACCCAAAGAAUAAGCACCGGCUAACUUCGUG
rnacentral:rRNA from 1 species